UUUAUUUAUUUUUAUUAAAGUUCGAAGUUUUAUUAAGUUCCAUUAUUUCAAAAUUUUUAAAUAAUAAAUAAAGUUUACAAUUAAAAAAAAUUUUAAUAUAAUCCAUAUUUUUGUUAAAGAUGCUGAUAACUGAUUGGACUUCAAGUUUAAUUAUUUGUGACCGCGCGCAAUGCGGUUAUUAGAAUCAGUGUUUGCUGCGUAAUAGUAUUUUUGAUAUUCUUUAGAGCACAAUAGCUCACGUUAAAUUUAAUUAUAUUAAUUAUAUGCGAAAGUAGAAUCAGUGCUUGUUCGCCGAUUGUAUAACAUGAACGGACGAGUUAAUAGCUUCUUAUUUUUAUUUUUUUUUUUUAUAAAUUUUCGUUUUCGGUACAGGUUAGAGUCAGUGCUUCUCUCAUCAGUAUAAGCGCUCAUCCAUCAUGCGAAGAGAUGCUGAUAACUGAUUGGACUUCAAGUUUAAUUAUUUGUGAUCGCGUGCAAUGCGAUUAUUAGAGUCAGUGUUUGCUACGUAAUAGUAUUUUUUAUAUUCUUUAGAGCACAAUAGCUCACGUUAAAUUUGAUUAUAUUAAUUAUACGCGAAAGUAGAAUCAGUGCUUAUUCGCCGAUUAUGUAAUAUGAACGGACGUGUUAAUAGCUUCUUAUUUUUAUUUUUUUUUUUUAUAAAUUUUCGUUUUCGGUACAGAGUAGAAUCAGUGCUGCAUUAUAAGGCGAUCAUCCACCACGCGAAGAGUCUUAACGUCCUCCUACGAUGACUUUUCCUUGAAUUGAAAGCAGUACCGUUGGCAACAUAUGUACAUCGCAUCAAUUGGUGAGUCGCAUGCAUUUUUGUUCCUCCGGUCACUCAAUCAUGUCGUAGGAUGAAAGGUCCGAAUCGACACGGGUGACUGGUUGUAUACGUAGAAAUUUGCACGGGCACA